rnacentral:lncRNA from 1 species
AUGACACAAGGCCUGAGCUGUAGGUGCACAUACAGACAAACUGCAGAGUUUUGUGUUCUGCACAGAAGUUCCUUGCUCCAGCAAGCAGCCUUUGGGACCUGCCUGAGCCAGAGCUCUAACCUUGCCAGAGAGAAGGGCAAGAGAAGACACCAGAGAGCUCAGGAACCAACUCUGCCAGUGCUCAGCUGCUGCCUGCAGAUCCACCCAAGUGCUGUCAGCUCACCAGCUAAAGGAGGAGGACAUUCACUCAGGUUACUUUAAAUAGCAGAGGAAAGGAAAUUAACAGAGGAACCGGCAAAGCUCAUCUCGCUUCUCAGAAUUGAUUCUCUGACCUUUUUUCCUGUCUGUGCUCCCCCCCACCCCACCCCCCGAAAAUCUGCUUUUCAUCUGCAUCAUUCCAACCUCCUGCAACAGAGGAAGUCCCCGGAGCUUUUUGAGCCCUUUUAAAAGAAUCCACCUCUGCAGACAGACACCGAGCUUCGUUUCUGGUAAGGUUUUCAAUCUCUCACCCCUUUGUCUGUGUUUUAUACGUCAGCCUGCUCCUGCUGGGUGGGCAGGAAGGGGCCGGGUGCUGCUGCUGAGUCCUGACUGGGUCACCCAGCGCUGCUGGGCUGUCGGGCUCGCCUAUAAAACACAGCGCGGUCCCGCAGCCGCCGCAGCCUCUCCUCCUCCUCCUUGUUUUUCCUGGAAUACU